rnacentral:lncRNA from 1 species
GUUCGAUCGUCUCAAUCUCACUUUCCUCAUCUUCGGGGCUGAAUCUGCGGUACUGUGUAAAGACUCUACAGCAGAAUAUGGUAAGAGCCAGUACGCAAGCAAUGCCACAAAUGAGGAACAGGCCCCAAAAGCUGUUAAGGGAAAGUUGGUUCUCGUCCACUUGGUUGACCUGACUCGAGCAGUCGCUGUGUGUCAGCCAUUUGUUAUGGAUUUUCUGGAGAUCCCCGUUUUCUGAGAGUUGGAGGAUAGCAGUUGACAUAUCAACUGCAAGAGGGGAGUCCCUUUGGAAAGCCUGAAACCAUGAAUGACAAUGACAACUACAAUGGAUUACCUUUCGGAAGCGAAUAAUUAGAGUUGCAUUGCCAUAAAAUCACUGUAGGAAGUUUGAUGUUGAUACUUACAAAGCCCCAUCCGCUCUUUGUAAAUUCUGGGCCAACUAUCCUGUAUAAACAAUUGGUGUUUGAUAAGAAGAGUUCGACAUAAGGAAGCUCAUCAACGAUGGCAGCUACACCACCCUUCUUCGGUCCAAGCUUAAGGGCUCUGAGAUAUGCUUCUGGAUUUUUUAACUUAACUAUCCUAGAUUGUGCUAUAUUGAGCUCGUCAACCAAAUAGUUCAAUGCAAACGAACCAUCUUGGAUUCCAAUAGGUUCAGUACUUGAGAUCAAGCUAUCAAUCCCUUGAAUCCCUGAUGUUAGCUGCUGCACAGUAAGUAUCGAUGUCAAACUAGCAGUGUAGCUCGAGUUAAUAAUCAGAACUACAAAUAGCCAUAUG